rnacentral:rRNA from 1 species
GUAGCGAAAGCUACGCUAAUACCGCAUACGAUCUAUGGAUGAAGCGGGGAUCGCAAGACCUCGCGCGAUUGGAGCGGCCGAUAUCAGAUUAGGUAGUUGGUGAGGUAAAGGCUCACCAAGCCGACGAUCUGUAGCUGGUCUGAGAGGACGUACCCAGCCACACUGGGACUGAGACACGGCCCAGACUCCUACGGAGGCUAGCAGUGGGGAAUUUUGGACAAUGGGCGCAAGCCUGAUCCAGCAAUGCCGCGUGCAGGAUGAAAGGCCUUCGGGUUGUAAACUGCUUUUGUACGGAACGAAACGGUGAGCUCUAAUACAGUUUGCUAAUGACGGUACCGUAAGAAUAAGCACCGGCUAACUACGUG